GGCUUCAGUCGGCGGCGAUCCGUGCCACCGUGGCCUCCUCAUCCCCACCAGCGGUGGCGCCUCCUUCAUCACCACAGGCGUCCACGGCUGCCCUAGCCAAAACUGCUGGUAGGUGGUUUGACCAAAUUAUGCACGGACCGGUGCAAAUCUCGUGUAUGGUUGAGUGGGAUGUUUCCACCCACGACCCACCAAUCCCACGUCAGCCUUAUCUCCAUGCGACCAUGCUAUUUCGAAAUCCUCUCUCCUCUCUCUCUUGUCGUUGUGGCUCAUUCUCUCAGAUCUAGACCGGCUGGUUGCUGGAGCCUGGAGGUGGAGGGCUUCAGUCGGCGGCGAUCCGUGCCACCGUGGCCUCCUCAUCCCCACCAGCGGUGGCGCCUCCUUCAUCACCACAGGCGUCCACGGCUGCUACUCCCCUACCAGCGACCGCGGUGCUCCUAGGGGGCCGCACGGCCAGGCCCUCGAGGCGAAGGCUACGGCAGCGCGACGCACCAUCAGCACGGCGGCAACCCUAUGCAGCAACGGCGCGUCCAAUCCUGGUGGCCGCACGGCCAGGCACCAUCAGCACGGCGGCAACCCUGUCUAUCAGCCCGGCGGCAACCCUGUGCAGCAACGCACCAUCAGCACGGCGGCGUCGGCCCCUUCCCUUCCUCAGGUCUGGUAAAAGAAUUUGAUUCACCGUCGAGGUUAAUCGAACAACCGUCCCUCUUCAGUGCGAUGAUUCAGGAGUAUGCCAAUCGCUCGUCGAGCCUGUAACCGUGCCAUGAUACUCUUUGCAGCAUGUAUCAAGAAUGCACAGCAUGUAUCAAGCCUGCUAGAAAUCCAAGAAUGCACAGAGGCCCCUGGCUGCAGUGCAUCCCACACGGAUGGCACCCCAGCAGCACGUCACAAUCGGCAGGUUGCAUCCUGGUGCCCCGUAUGGUCGGGGGCGGUGGCGACGAGGCUGCUGCCAUGGAGUCGGAUGAGGUGCCGGCGGCGCGGCUCUGUUGCAGGGCCUCGCGCGGGGUGCCACGGCUGGCUCACACGAGCCAAGGGGACGGCCCAUAUACUUGCAUACAUGAGUUUCUAUACAUAGCAAUUAUGAUUUGGCAAUCUCACUAAAUAAAAUAUUUAUUUAUGAUAACUAGUGCAGGUUUUUGAAACAAACAAGAUAAAUAAUGAUUCUCAGUUUCUUUUCAGGUACUAUGAUUUGUUUUCUAUGCUUCUUGAACCAGCGGGUAAGCUAGAAAUAUGUGGAAUUAUAUACAUUGUUGGAACACAUUUUAUAUAUUGUUGGAACACAGUUUUAUACAUUGCUGGAGCACAUUUAUAUUUAAUGUUGGAACACAUUUAUAUUUAAUGUUGGAACAUUUCUAUACACUGUAUUAAUAGUUAUCCAUGCAUUCAUGGAAGGCUUUCUAUACAUUAGUGGCAUCACUUUGCGCUUGCUUUUCUCAUUGUCUCAAAGCAUUUCAUGAUCUAUAGACCCAAGUAACACCCUUUGACCAAAUAUGUGAGACUAAUAUAUUUUUGGCGGCAUGGACAUGGAUGCCAUAGAGGAUGCAGUGGUGUUGCAGAGCUGCUGCCCAUGGUGCUUUUGGCCAAUCAUAGGAUGGUUGGAAGGAAGCGCCGAUGUGAAAAUGACAUCCUUCAUGUGUAAAAGUUUAUGCUUCAUGUGUGAUGGAUGUUGUUAGCUGGAGGUAUUUUUAGAUCGAGCUUUCUUUUGCAUGAUAAGUUCGGGACGGAUGUGGUCACAAUUUUUAUGUUUCAUGUGUAAAAGCUUUCUAUGCUCCAUGCUGUCUCAUGUUUUUUUUUCAAGAUGGAGAUGUUGUAGCUAGAUGUAUCUAUGCUUCAUGUGUUUCUAGAAUUUUCAUGUCUUUGUGCAACUAUUUUUAUGCAAUACUAAGAACUAGCAAUGCAAGCAAGCAUGAUUUCAUAUGCUUUUUUGUACCUGUAAAUAUAUCACUAAUUAUUUUCUAUGUGCUUCGUAAAUCUUCUAGUAUUAGUUAUUUUUUAUGCAUAUAUGUUGGUAAGUGAAGAGGUCUAAAAUUAUCUGUUAUUUAUGAAACUACAUGUAUGAGGCAAAACUUUAUGAUAAACGACUAAAAUUACUCAUUAUUUGUGAAACUACAUGUAUGAGCAUGGAGUGAAUCAGUGGUGGCGGAUGGUGGUGUGGACAACGGCAAUGGCGUGGCAUGGUCAAAGAUGUCUUCCAUAGUUUUUUAUGCCUGACUUUGAUGGUUUUUGUGUCAGUGGCAUAGUGUGAUCUUUUUUGAUAGAGUUGAUGGGUCAAUGUAAAAUAUUGAUGGCUCAUGUAAUUGAUGGCUUACUCAUAAGAACAAAUUUGUAUACAUUCUUGAGCAUUUAUGUGUUCAUCUGUAUACAACUAUAUGCUAUAUGCAUGUUUGAAGCACUCUUAUAUGCAUUGUUAGAACA